rnacentral:rRNA from 1 species
GACGAACGCUGGCGGCGUGCUUAACACAUGCAAGUCGAACGGAAAGGCCCAGCUUGCUGGGUACUCGAGUGGCGAACGGGUGAGUAACACGUGGGUGAUCUGCCCUGCACUCUGGGAUAAGCCUGGGAAACUGGGUCUAAUACCGGAUAUGACCAACUGUCGCAUGGUGGUUGGUGGAAAGCUUUUGCGGUGUGGGAUGGGCCCGCGGCCUAUCAGCUUGUUGGUGGGGUAAUGGCCUACCAAGGCGACGACGGGUAGCCGACCUGAGAGGGUGAUCGGCCACACUGGGACUGAGACACGGCCCAGACUCCUACGGGAGGCAGCAGUGGGGAAUAUUGCACAAUGGGCGCAAGCCUGAUGCAGCGACGCCGCGUGAGGGAUGACGGCCUUCGGGUUGUAAACCUCUUUCACCAGGGACGAAGCGUGAGUGACGGUACCUGGAGAAGAAGCACCGGCCAACUACGUGCCAGCCGCCGCAGUAAAAC